AUCCUUGAUUUUAAAGGAAAAAACAAUUAAAAAGGUAAAUAAAAUAUGUUAACCGGCUGCUCCCGGUUACUAUCGACAGGCGACCCGCAUAAAUCACGGAAGAGGUCCUCUGGCUUCGCCGCUCGGUUGCAUGGCGAGAUUUUCUCCGCUCGGUGAUCCCCGAAAUCAUGGAAGAGCAGGGCAGGGCGGGUAGGAUUUCCUCCGCUUGCAUGGGGAGAUAUCCCCGAAUCAUAUGGCAGGGCAGGAUUUUCCCUUGGCGCUCGAUUUCCCUCCGCCACUGCCGGUUCCUCCUCAGAGAGCUCGAUUUCCCUCCCGGAUUUCGUCUUCCUACCGUCCACCACUGGUCUUCGCCGCCUCCAGUGCACCGCUAGGCUUGGGCUUCUUAUUCCUGCCGCCUUCAGCAGCGCCGCUCCGGUCUCCAAAGAUUAUUCAAACAUCGGAAGAAUUGGUGAACUGUGGGGCUGUGCUGUUGAAAGAUGGUUUGGUUCUUUGAACAUUUUCAAGCGGCUGGCGAUUGCUUUGAUUAUGCAUGCCAUGAGCAUCCUCUGAUUAAAAAUUGGGGUGGAAACAAGGUUGUGAAGCGGGCACAUCUUGAAGGGAUAAAGAAAUUUGGUGCUGAAAAGGUAGUUAUUAGGUUGCAACUCAAUGAUUCUGAAGUGCGUACUGAUUCUGAUCAUUGGAGGAGGAGAUUGGUGAGGGAUCUUUUGACGGAAUGAAUAGUGACUAUUUCGAAAAUAUGGAUUUCACUGACAAUGUAAUACAACUUUAAGUGCUGUGAAUUGCUGGACACGCUGAUGCGUGACCUCCUCGCGCUGCAGCGCUCGCGAUCGCUCCGGGACCCCUCCACAAGCUGCUCGAUCGACUCCGGUCCAACGGAGUCAACGUCGACCCCGACGCCGACUGUGAUGCCGACCACUCCCUCGGCAGUGGGCUGAAGGCCCCCCUCGGCCGCGCGUCAUUCUCCAUGGGCGCCCGCGCCUGGGAUGUGCCGAUCGACUGUGAGGCUAGGGUUCGGCGGGUGCGGGUGGCGGCGUGACGGUGGGAGACGAAGUCUCGGGCAGACAGUCACUGGGGAGGCGAUGCUGAUUAGGGUACUUACGCGCCUGGGCUGUAAUACCACUUUGUGUAAUAGUAUUUGAAGUGGCCUGAUUAGGAGUCCAGCCCAUUUGCCGAUAUGGGCUGUAUUACUACUUUGUUUCAGAUGUAUAUAUUGACAAAAAAAU